rnacentral:lncRNA from 1 species
AUGAAGCAGGAAGACCUAGGGAAGCGCCGAAGGGAGUCAACAGGUAUGCAAAUGAUGAACUGUCUCAGAGUAGACUUCCCUCCUUCACCAACUCUACAAGGAACCAGAAUGUUGGUACCAGCAGCAGCCCCUUGUGCCUGUCUGCCUUCUCAGGGAGUGCAGACAAAUAUGGGUAAGGCUCUUCUGGUUCUUGGAUCUCCUGUAUUGGUUGAGAUCCUGAGUUUUAUUUGGCAGUGGAGCAGGUUACCUGCCCCAUCCCAGCUGAAAGACACUGUGGGGGGCCAGUUGAAAUACACCAAGGCAUACCCACUCACUCGUCACUCGGUGUCACUGGCUCAGCUGAGAAACACCAUGUUUGCUCAGUUGUAGGAAACAGAGUUGUCUGUGCUGAGUAGUUAGGUAAGAGGCUGAUAUAAUACUUUUCCUCAGUUUGGCUGCCUUAAUAGAAUUUGUUGGGAUAAAAGUGAAGGGUAAAUUUUAUCCUUGAGAAAUUUGACUUAAAAUAGGAAAUGUAUGUGCUUAGUCACUCAGUUAUGUCCCACUCUUUGCAACCCAUGGACUACAGCCCUGCCAGGCUCCUCUGUCCAUGGGGAUUCUCCAGGCAAGAAUACUGGAGUGGGUUGCCAUGCCCUCAUCCAGGGGAUCUUGCCAGCCCAGGGAUUGAACCCAGGUCUCCCGUAUUGCAGGUGGAUUCUGAAAUGUUGUUGCUGGGCCAUGAAAUAUGCCAGGAUUCUUGGCCUCCAGAGGAGAGGAAUUAAAUCCAGGGCCAGUGAUGAGGCUUGAUUGCUCAGAGCUUUUGUGUAUUAAAGUUGUAUUAAAGUAUAAAACAGAAAGGGAAAGCUUCUGACACAGACAGCAGAAGGGAGCAGAAAGAGUGCCCCCCUGCUGUGUUAGCAAGGGAAUUAUGUACUUUUUUAAUU